rnacentral:tRNA from 1 species
UGGACGAUGGUGUAAUGGUAACACUACAGGUUUUGGUUCUGUCAUUCCCGGUUCGAAUCCGAGUCGUCCAACAA